GGAGUUAGCCGGUGCUUCUUCUGCGAGUAACGUCACAGAUGUAAGGUAUUAACUUACACCCUUUCCUCCUCGCUGAAAGUGCUUUACAACCCGAAGGCCUUCUUCACACACGCGGCAUGGCUGCAUCAGGGUUUCCCCAAUUGUGCAAUAUUCCCCACUGCUGCCUCCCGUAGGAGUCUGGGCCGUGUCUCAGUCCCAGUGUGGCUGAUCAUCCUCUCAGACCAGCUAGGGAUCGUCGCCUAGGUGAGCCUUUACCUCACCUACUAGCUAAUCCCACCUGGGCUUAUCCAUCAGCGCAAGGCCCGAAGGUCCCCUGCUUUCCCCCGUAGGGCGUAUGCGGUAUUAGCAGUCGUUUCCAACUGUUAUCCCCCACAAAUGGGCAAAUUCCCAGGCAUUACUCACCCGUCCGCCGCUCGUCAUCUUCAAAAGCAAGCUUUUGAAAUGUUACCGCUCGACUUGCAUGUGUUAGGCCUGCCGCCAGCGUUCAAUCUGAGCCGAGGAUACAAACUACUGA
rnacentral:rRNA from 1 species